CUGUAUGCGAAGGUAAUAUGGACCCCUCGUCUUACCAGUCAAAUGACCAUAUAUUCAGACGUGUACAUGUACUGUUGCCAAAUAAUCACCUAAUAUGGACCCCUCUUCUUACCAGUCAAAUGACCAUAUAUUCAGACGUGUACAUGUACUGUUGCCAAAUAAUCACCUUUAUGGUGACUCUUCUUUGUAGAUCUAAUAUUUGCAUUUGUGGAACUUCAUAUCAUCUCUUCUGAAAAAAAAAUCUUGCAAAAAAGAAAAAUAAAAAAGAAAGAAGAGUAAUCAUCAUCUAAG
rnacentral:lncRNA from 1 species